AAACUUUAAAGAUGAGGAGAAUAAUACCUACAUUAUACAAUUAGUAUUAAAAUGAAAUGAAUUCGUAUUUGAAUACCGCUUAGAACAAUGGCUGACAAAGAGUACUAUGCCAGUUUAUUAAAUAAAUUUUAAAAAAUCUCUUCUUUGUGUUAACAGGGAACGACUGUAUGUAUUAUUAAAUCUAGCUGAAUUGCAACAGACAUGAUUAUCUGUCUUUCAGUCAAAGAAACUAAGACCCAGAGAAAGAAAACAUCUUGGCCAAGGAUCCAGUCAUUGGCAAAACUGAUACUCAUAUCCAUUUACAUAGAAUACUGCCCCAGAGAAACAGGCAGCAGCCAUCAGCAUUGAGACAAAGCCGUCCAUAAGCAAAAAGAUUACAACUCGUUGGAAGCUCAGAUGAUUAGUAUUUUUUAGCAGUAUUUUAAAAUUAAGCGCAACGACGUGAUGAGCUCCAUAGUGUCUUAGGUCUUGCAUGGCCCUCUACGUGGCAGCUGAUUUUCACUUUUGCUUCUCUGACAUUCUCCUGGGAAGGCCACUAGCCACUCAGCCAGCACUUCACAUCACCCUGAAGCUGUUCCAUGAGGCUUUGCAGCAGCCGAGGCACUGUCACCUGCGUACCCUGUUUAGUUUUGUCAGAGUUGAACCACAAGAAUUUACAAUAAUGGGAGAGAGACCAAAGAGUUAAACCUUAUUCAGACUGAGCAAAGCGCCUUCUGGGAAGCUGGUUCACUGGCUAAGAAUACUCUGUGUCCUAUACAUGAUACUCUAUGUACUGUACUCAUUGUACAUAAGGAAACAGGUUUUUUGUAGGUCAAAAAGGUUGAAUGUUGGCAAUUUCAUAUGCUUCACCGUAUAAUUAUACUCUGACUUGCUAUAAUGGAUUUAUAUAGUCUCUAUUUUUAAUAAAAAUAUUUCUGUGCUAUAUAGGGCAGUGCUCAACAACAUAUGUGUAUAAUUCAUGUUGCUAUUCUUAGACUUUUAGUUGUAGCAAAAGAUCCAGAUCUUGGCCUUAAUACUUUCCUGGGGUUGGUGUCAGUUUCUUGGAGAAAUGGGGAGGUGGGCUAAGCAUGGAGGCUGGGUGUGCUCUCUCAUUGUUGACAUCACAACAGGCAGUUUGCAGCAUAAGUCUCCAGCCCAGAGUGUCCUCACUGAGCCAUUUGUUUGCUCUAGCUGACCCAGAUAUUACAGUGGGGAUAGAUGAAUAUUAGGUGUCAUAUUAUGAGCUCUUCUCCGCCAGUGAGCUAUCUUCACUAUAUUGGGGGUUUUCAGGACAGACAGCACCAAAGAUGGGGGCAAAAUGCUAAGUAAUGCUAUGUAUACACACACGGGGUUUUGGAAAGGAGAAAGAUGCUGAAUGUUACUUAGUUAAAAGAUUAAAUCCUGUCUCAUACUUCACAUCAUCUACAUAAAUAAGCAAAGCGCCAUGUACUUAAUGAAUGAUCAAUAAAAAUAUGAACUGAAGUGUG